GACGAACGCUGGCGGCGUGCUUAACACAUGCCAGUCGAACGGAAAGGCCCCUUUGGGGGUCCUCGAGUGGCGAACGGGUGAGUAACACGUGAGUAACCUGCCCUUGACUUCGGGAUAACUUCAGGAAACUGGGGCUAAUACCGGAUAGGAAUCCUUGCUGCAUGGUGGGGGUUGGAAAGCUUCGGCGGUUUUGGAUGGACUCGCGGCUUAUCAGCUUGUUGGUGGGGUAGUGGCUUACCAAGGCUUUGACGGGUAGCCGGCCUGAGGGGGCGACCGGCCACAUUGGGACUGAGAUACGGCCCAGACGCCUACGGGAGGCAGCAGGGGGGAAUAUUGCACAAGGGGCGGAAGCCUGAUGCAGCAACGCCGCGGGCGGGAUGACGGCCUUCGGGUUGUAAACCGCGUUCAGCAGGGGCGAAGCUUGUGGUGACGGUACCUGCAGAAGAAGCACCGGCUAACUACGUG
rnacentral:rRNA from 1 species